rnacentral:tRNA from 1 species
GUUUUUAUAGCUUAUAUUUAGAGCAUUUCAGUGAAGUUGAUAGGGAAAUAAUAUAUUUAAAAACA